GAUGAACGCUAGCUACAGGCUUAACACAUGCAAGUCGAGGGGUAGCAUGAAAGUUUGCUUGCAAACUUUUGAUGGCGACCGGCGCACGGGUGAGUAACACGUAUCCAACCUGCCUCAUACUCGGGGAUAGCCUUUCGAAAGAAAGAUUAAUACCCGAUGUCAUAGUCCUACCGCAUGAUGGGAUUAUUAAAGAAUUUCGGUAUGGGAUGGGGAUGCGUUCCAUUAGUUAGUUGGCGGGGUAACGGCCCACCAAGACAACGAUGGAGAGGGGUUCUGAGAGGAAGGUCCCCCACAUUGGAACUGAGACACGGUCCAA
rnacentral:rRNA from 1 species